rnacentral:rRNA from 1 species
CGGAUUGCAGGCUGCAACUCGCCUGCAUGAAGUCGGAAUUGCUAGUAAUCGCGGAUCAGCAUGCCGCGGUGAAUACGUUCCCGGGCCUUGUACACACCGCCCGUCACACCAUGAGAGCCGGUAACACCCGAAGUCAGAAGCCUAACCGCAAGGAGGGCGCUGCCGAAGGUGGGAUUGGUAAUUGGGGUGAAGUCGUAACAAGGUAAC